rnacentral:rRNA from 1 species
GUGAAGCGGGAAGAGCUCAAAUUUGAAAUCUGGUGGCCUCAGGUCAUCCGAGUUGUAAUCUAUAGAAGUGUUUUCCGUGCUGGCUCAUGUACAAGUCCCUUGGAACAGGGCGUCAUAGAGGGUGAGAAUCCCGUCCUUGACAUGAACUACCAGUGCUCUGUGAUACAUUUUCAACGAGUCGAGUUGUUUGGGAAUGCAGCUCAAAAUGGGUGGUAAAUUCCAUCUAAAGCUAAAUAUUGGCGAGAGACCGAUAGCGAACAAGUACCGUGAGGGAAAGAUGAAAAGCACUUUGGAAAGAGAGUUAAACAGUAUGUGAAAUUGUUGAAAGGGAAACGAUUGAAGUCAGUCGUGCUCUUUGGAUUCAGCCGGUUCUGCCGGUGUACUUCCUUUGAGUGGGGUCAACAUCAGUUUUGAUCGCUGGAUAAAGGCUGGAGGAACGUAGUACCCUCGGGUAAACUUAUAGCCUCCUGUCACAUACAGUGGUUGGGACUGAGGAACGCAGCACGCCUUUAUGGCCGGGAUUCGUCCACGUACGUGCUUAGGA